CCUACGGGAGGCAGCAGUGAGGAAUAUUGGUCAAUGGGCGGAAGCCUGAACCAGCCAAGUCGCGUGAGGGAUUAAGGCCCUGCGGGUCGUAAACCUCUUUUGCCGGGGAGCAGUGGUCCGGACGCGUCCGGACCGGGAGAGUACCCGGAGAAAAAGCAUCGGCUAACUCCGUGCCAGCAGCCGCGGUAAUACGGAGGAUGCGAGCGUUAUCCGGAUUUAUUGGGUUUAAAGGGUGCGUAGGCGGGCAUUUAAGCCGGCGGUCAAAUGUCGGGGCUCAACCCCGGCCUGCCGUCGGAACUGGGUGCCUUGAGUGGGCGAGAAGUAUGCGGAAUGCGUGGUGUAGCGGUGAAAUGCAUAGAUAUCACGCAGAACCCCGAUUGCGAAGGCAGCAUACCGGCGCCCUACUGACGCUGAGGCACGAAAGUGCGGGUAUCGAACAGGAUUAGAUACCCCAGUAGUC
rnacentral:rRNA from 1 species